rnacentral:rRNA from 1 species
CAGCAGCCACGGUAAUACGUAGGGUGCGAGCGUUAAUCGGAAUUACUGGGCGUAAAGCGUGCGCAGGCGGUUCGUUAAGACAGAUGUGAAAUCCCCGGGCUUAACCUGGGAACUGCAUUUGUGACUGGCGAGCUAGAGUAUGGCAGAGGGGGGUAGAAUUCCACGUGUAGCAGUGAAAUGCGUAGAGAUGUGGAGGAAUACCGAUGGCGAAGGCAGCCCCCUGGGCCAAUACUGACGCUCAUGCACAAAAGCGUGGGGAGCAAACAGGAUUAGAUACCCCCGUAGUCCCUGUCUCUUAUAC